GAAGAACCCGAAAGGCAAAACGACGCGGCCCCAAAUAAGAGGCGGAGGAGCACCUGCGGGUGAGAUUUAUGGCAUCCAGCGAACAGGCGAUCAACUUCCUUAAAGUUCUUGAAGGCUUCCAAACAACAGCCCCAUCGCCUGGCAGCCUUUAAAAAAAAGGAGACUUUGAUACCGCAUCUGGAAGGGGAUUUCGAACGCUUUCGCUUCCCGAACAAAACAAGGCAGGAAAAUCCUAAAUAAUAAUCAUAAUAGCAAUAAAGAAACCAGAAGUUCCUCCCGGCUUUGGAGUUCUUAAAGAGGAAUAUGGGGAAAAUGCGCUCCGGGGCGCUCAGCUCCGUCCCGCCCCGAAGCUCCGCAGCCCCCGCAGAGCAGCGCAAAAGCCGCGCAAAAAGCCGCGCAGCUCCGCCCGGAGCCGCGCAGCCCCUCCUGCGCUCUCACCCAAAUCCUCUCCCUCUGGUUUUGUUUCGGGACGGUUUUCUUCCCCCCGAUGUCAC
ensembl:lncRNA